GGCUGGGUAGCUCAGCUGGUUAGAGCGCGGCACUCAUAAUGCCGAAGUCGGUGGUUCAAGUCCACCUCCAGCCACCA
rnacentral:tRNA from 1 species